rnacentral:lncRNA from 1 species
GCCAAUCACCUUGCACCUUGUAAAACCGAUUGGCCCAUUGGCUUCACCAAAGCAUACGACCAUACUUAGUCUAUAGAAAUUAUAGCAGGUUUGAAUUAUCUAUAUGAAUGCACCAAACACAGGUAAUACACUCUCCCUCAAUUCCUUAUGUAUCAAUCAUGCAACCCUCAAUCAAUCCAACCAAACAAUCCUAGAUCGACCCAAAGGCCAUAAACAUGAACAUGCCAGUCAUAAACAUUUGGUUCUAACUCUACUCACCUUAGUCAAUUAGAGAGAAUCAGAGAGAAGAGAAUCACAAACAACAAAAGGCACCCUUUUUGUCUUUUUCUGAAAACUGCCCAAUCGCCUUGCCAGACUGUCUCACCAGACCGUCUGACCACCCGUCUGGUUGGGUCAACCACUCGGCCUUAACCAUUUUCUGGUUAAACCUCUCCUUAUCUCACGCCGCAAUC